rnacentral:rRNA from 1 species
CGGCGAGUGAAGCGGCAACAGCUCAAAUUUGAAAUCUGGCCCUCGGGUCCGAAUUGUAAUUUGUAGAGGAUGAUUUUGGUGCGGUAUCUUCCGAGUUCCUUGGAACAGGACGCCUUAGAGGGUGAGAGCCCCGUACGGUUGAAUGCCUAGCCUCUGUAAAUCUCCUUCGACGAGUCGAGUAGUUUGGGAAUGCUGCUCUAAAUGGGAGGUAAAUUUCUUCUAAAGCUAAAUAUUGGCCAGAGACCGAUAGCGCACAAGUAGAGUGAUCGAAAGAUGAAAAGCACUUUGAAAAGAGGGUUAAAUAGCACGUGAAAUUGUUGAAAGGGAAGGAUUUGUGACCAGACUUUUUCUGGGCGGAUCAUCCGGGGUUCUCUCCGGUGCACUUUGCCCAGUAAAGGCCAGCAUCGAUUUUCGGCGGCGGAUAAAAGCAGUGGGAAUGUGGCUCCCUACGGGGAGUGUUAUAGCCCAUUGUAUAAUACGCUGCUGGGGAUCGAGGUACGCGCUUCUGCAAGGAUGCUGGCGUAAUGGUUAUCAAUCACCCGUCUUGAAACACGGACCAAGGAGUCGAACAUUUAUGCGAGUGUUUGGGUGUUAAACCCUCACGCGUAAUGAAAGUGAACGGAGGUGAGAGCCCGUACGGGUGCAUCAUCGACCGAUCCUGAAGUUUUCGGAUGGAUUUGAGUAAGAGCAUAACUGUUCGGACCCGAAAGAUGGUGAACUAUGCGUGGAUAGGGUGAAGCCAGAGGAAACUCUGGUGGAGGCUCGCAGCGGUUCUGACGUGCAAAUCGAUCGUCAAAUCUGCGCAUGGGGGCGAAAGACUAAUCGAACCAUCUAGU